GAUGAACGCUGGCGGCGUGCUUAACACAUGCAAGUCGAACGAAGCACUUUAACCUGAUUCUUCGGAUGAAGGUUUUUGUGACUGAGUGGCGGACGGGUGAGUAACGCGUGGGUAACCUGCCUCAUACAGGGGGAUAACAGUUAGAAAUGACUGCUAAUACCGCAUAAGACCACAGAGCCGCAUGGCUCGGUGGGAAAAACUCCGGUGGUAUGAGAUGGACCCGCGUCUGAUUAGGUAGUUGGUGGGGUAACGGCCUACCAAGCCAACGAUCAGGAGCCGACAUGAGAGGGUGGCCGGACACAUUGGGACUGAGACACGGCCCAAACUCCUACGGGAGGCAGCAGUGGGGAAUAUUGCACAAUGGGGGAAACCCUGAUGCAGCGACGCCGCGUGAGCGAAGAAGUAUUUCGGUAUGUAAAGCUCUAUCAGCAGGGAAGAAAAUGACGGUACCGGACUAAGAAGCACCGGCUAAAUACGU
rnacentral:rRNA from 1 species